rnacentral:rRNA from 1 species
AUUGAACGCUGGCGGCAGGCCUAACACAUGCAAGUCGAGCGGAUGAAGGGAGCUUGCUCCUGGAUUCAGCGGCGGACGGGUGAGUAAUGCCUAGGAAUCUGCCUGGUAGUGGGGGAUAACGUCCGGAAACGGGCGCUAAUACCGCAUACGUCCUGAGGGAGAAAGUGGGGGAUCUUCGGACCUCACGCUAUCAGAUGAGCCUAGGUCGGAUUAGCUAGUUGGUGGGGUAAAGGCCUACCAAGGCGACGAUCCGUAACUGGUCUGAGAGGAUGAUCAGUCACACUGGAACUGGAACACGGUCCAGACUACUGCGGGACGCAGCAGUGGGGAAUAUUGGACAGUGGGCGAAAACCUGCUCCAGCCGUGCCGCGUGUGUGAAGAAGGUCUUCGGAUUGUAAAGCACUUUAAGUUGGGAGGAAGGGCAGUAAGUUAAUACCUUGCUGUUUUGACGUUACCAACAGAAUAAGCACCGGCUAACUUCGUG